rnacentral:rRNA from 1 species
UACGGGGGGGGUAAGCGUUGUUCGGAAUUACUGGGCGUAAAGGGCUCGUAGGCGGCCAACUAAGUCAUACGUGAAAUCCCUCAGCUUAACUGGGGAACUGCGUGUGAUACUGGAUGGCUUGGAUUUGGGAGAGGGAUGCGGAAUUCCAGGUGUAGCGGUGAAAUGCGUAGAUAUCUGGAGGAACACCGGUGGCGAAGGCGGCAUCCUGGACCAAUUCUGACACUGAGGAGCGAAAGCCAGGGGAGCAAACAGG